rnacentral:rRNA from 1 species
CUGAGAGUUUGAUCCUGGCUCAGAACGAACGCUGGCGGCAUGCCUAACACAUGCAAGUCGAACGAACUCUUCGGAGUUAGUGGCGGACGGGUGAGUAACGCGUAGGAACCUGCCAAGCAGUGGGGAAUAACAGCUGGAAACGGCUGCUAAUACCGCAUACGCCCCUUCGGGGGGAAAGAUUUAUCGCUGUUUGAGGGUCCUGCGUUCGAUUAGCUAGUUGGUGAGGUAACGGCCCACCAAGGCGACGAUCGAUAGCUGGUCUGAGAGGAUGAUCAGCCACACUGGGAC